AUUGAACGCUGGCGGCAGGCCUAACACAUGCAAGUCGAACGAGUGGCGGACGGGUGAGUAAUGUCUGGGAAACUGCCUGAUGGAGGGGGAUAACUACUGGAAAAGGUAGCUAAUACCGCAUACCAUCGGAUGUGCCCAGAUGGGAUUAGCUAGGAGGUGGGGUAACGGCUCACCUAGGCGACGAUCCCGAGCUGGUCUGAGAGGAUGAGCAUCCACACUUGAACUGAGACACGGUCCAGACGCCUACGGGAGGCAUCAGUGGGGAAUAUUGCACAAUGGUCGCAAUCCUGAUUCAGCCAUGCCGCGUGUAUGAAGAAGGCCUUCGGGUUGUAAAGUACUUUCAUCGGGGAGGCGUUACCCGCAGAAGAAGCACCGGCUAACUCCGUGCCAGCAGCCGCGGUAAUUC
rnacentral:rRNA from 1 species